GUAUGUAUGGUGUAAUUAACACACUAGCUUUUCAUGCUAUAAAUAUAUAAAUAUAUUACAUAC
rnacentral:tRNA from 1 species